rnacentral:rRNA from 1 species
AUUGAACGCUGGCGGCAUGCCUUACACAUGCAAGUCGAACGGUAACGCGGGGCAACCUGGCGACGAGUGGCGAACGGGUGAGUAAAGCAUCGGAACGUGCCCAGUAGUGGGGGAUAGCCCGGCGAAGGCCGGAUUAAUACCGCAUACGACCUACGGGUGAAAGGGGGGGAUCGCAAGACCUCUCGCUAUUGGAGCGGCCGAUGUCAGAUUAGGUAGUUGGUGGGGUAAAGGCCUACCAAGCCGACGAUCUGUAGUUGGUCGGAGAGGACGACCAGCCACACUGGGACUGAGAAACGGCCCAGACUCCUACGGGAGGCAGCAGUGGGGAAUUUUGGACAAUGGGCGCAAGCCUGAUCCAGCAAUGCCGCGUGCAGGAAGAAGGCCUUCGGGUUGUAAACUGCUUUUGUCAGGGAAGAAAUCCUCUGGGUUAAUACCCCGGGGGGAUGACGGUACCUGAAGAAUAAGCACCGGCUAACUACGUGCCAGCCGCCGCCGUAAAAC